UACGUAGGGGGCAAGCGUUGUCCGGAAUCAUUGGGCGUAAAGAGCGUGUAGGCGGCUCGAUAAGUCCGCUGUGAAAGUCCAGGGCUCAACCCUGGAAGGCCGGUGGAAACUGUCGGGCUAGAGUCCGGAAGAGGCGAGUGGAAUUCCGGGUGUAGCGGUGAAAUGCGUAGAUAUCCGGAGGAACACCGGUGGCGAAGGCGGCUUCCUGGACCGAUCACUGACGCUGAGGCGCGAAAGCUAGGGGAGCAAACGGG
rnacentral:rRNA from 1 species